CUGCUGCAGGAGCAGGGCUGGCAGCGGCUGGAGGAGCUCCGGGACCAGCAGCGCUCCCAGGCCCUGGUCGACCUGCACCGCAGCUUCCACACCUGCAUCUCCCGCCAGCGCGUCCUGCCCCGGAUGCAGGCUCGCAUGCGUGGGUUCCAGGCCAGCCUGUCUUCACGCAUUCCUCCAACAGCUGUUGGCUGACCGUCUGCCUCAUCUACCCCUGGGCCAGAUGCUGGCGACAGAGCUGGGGAUGCCAGAGACGGGGCCUCCCAGGCUGGUUGGGGAGUCAGAUUCAGAUGGUAAAGCAGCCAGUGAUCUUCCCAGAGAGUAACUCGAGGGCUGAGAAUAAAGUGAAGACAGUG
rnacentral:sRNA from 1 species